AGUGCAAUAGCAUGUAUUGGCCGUUGGAGUACCUCACCGGUGAGGUGCAAUAGAUUUUACCUUACCAAUUAGCUAGGUACAACAUGCAUACGAAUAAAACCAACCAUAUCCAUGUUUGUUUUGAAAAAUUUAUCGGUUAUCUUAUUUCAUUUAUCUUUAUUUAAAAUGAGUAUUAUCGCUUCUGGUGUCUAUGACUGCCAUAAAACUCUUUUGCAUUUAAAAAAUCUACGUAUUUUGCGUAGAAAACUAUUCUACACCUGUUACACCAUUUUCGACAUUUUCUUUCGGGAUGGCCUUAUACCCUUCUUCAAUGGCGAAUCAAUAUAGUCCCAGAUUGCCUCGAUGGGAUUGAGAUCGGGUCUCUGUGAUGGCAAAACUAUCCUUGCGAUGUUCCCUAGAAUAUAUUUUUUUACAUUUUAAGUUGAAGAUAAUUGUAUGAAUAAUGAUUCUGCAAAUCAAAAUCAUGUUAUAAAAAUUAGUUACCAAAUUUCUCUUUUUAUUCUAUAUCAUUUCUUCAAAAUGUAAAUGAAAGUUUAGUGUCGUUAUCCUCCUGGAACACAAAUCUUAUCAGUCGUUUUCCCUCUGAAAUGGCUGUUUGAACUAAUAUGGAAUAAAAGCCUUUUUGAUCCAUUAUUCCAAUGACUCUUUUAUGUCGUGUAACACCUUUAUUUUAUAAACCAUCUGACACCAUGAUGCUCCCACUACCGUGCUUUAUUGUCGGUAAGAGUCAUUCCUUGCUGAAUCUUUCACAAGGCUGUCCACCGUGACGGCACAGCUUUUGUGAUUUUUAAUGGUGAUGCCAGGGGAAGUACGCAGAGUAAUUCAAGUCACUGUGGUUCAAAGAAUAGAAAGAAUUCUAUCUGUGAAGUACAACACUUAAUGUGGAUUCAUGUUCUAAAAAAAGAAAUAAUGUUACUUCGUUUACAGAAGUUUUAAACAGUAUAGAGGCAAUUCACUUCGCGGUUUCGCGUGUCAAUUGUUUCUGCGUCCGCCAUUUUUGCUGGUUGGUAUUGUUUUUAUUCUCAUUGUUUGUAUAGGGUGAUGUUAAAAUUUUUGAAUGCAAAUAACAUUUGUGGAAAAGCAGUGUAGUUUUUUGUUAUUUUUAUUCCAGCAUCUAAUGUCUACAUCUCUUGUUAAGUAUUUGUUUAAAUUUGUGUUAAUGGACCUAUAUGGUUUUAUUUUUAAAAAAUAUUUGGUUCAGGGCUGUCAUGGGUGACAACGUAUUUGAAAUCGAAAUUCUCGAGUCAGAUUCCUUGCUCGAAGAAGAAUCUGUGUUAAAUACCGAUGUUCAAAUAAUCAACUUAUCUAACUUGACAAUUUAUGCAUCCACAUUGCAGCAUGAAGAUAGGUGUUGGUAUGCAGCCAAACUAUUAUUAGUAGGUUGGUAUUGCCCGUACACAAUUCAUGAAGAAUAUUGGUGUAACGGACUUACAAUCAGUGAAAAAAGACUCAGGUUACCAAUCUGGAUUUGGUGAAUUACCUCAUCUGCUCCAAGUCUCCUUACACCCAUGAAGACCUUAAGGCAUAAAAGGGACUUGAGGCUUAUAAAAGAUUCAUCGACUGUGGUAUAGGUUCAUUGUAUGUGCUAAGCCUGCUCAACAAAAAUGUGUUAUUGAAAGCAAAGGUUCGUCAUUCUAUGAGCAUUAAUGAUACACCAGCCCAGCCAUGGGCUGCAUUCAAUUCAGCUGGCGUAGUCAUUGCUGGACACUGCAAUUGCACAGCAGGGUAUGUUUAAUUUGAAAUUUAGAUUAUAAUGUGUAAAGUGAUACGUAGUAUUUACCAAAAAAAACAUUGCAGUUUAGGUGAGGUACAAAAACAGGUUAGGUGAGAACAAAAACACGAUUAACAUAAUUGUCAUAACUUACCUAGCACAAAAUGUGAAUCAAAAACUGUAUAGUUAUUCGUAACUUUCUUAUCAACUAGAUUCAGUCUUUUUAACCAGACUGCUCUUCGUCUUUUUUCCUAUUUCCAAUUCUUCUUUCCCUAGAUUUUUACGAAUACAGGGGACAUAAAAAAAACGCACACUUUUAUCCCUGCUUGAUUUUUUGCAACCUGGAGCACAACAAUACUGGAAACCCAUGACUGCCCUAAACAAAAUAUGUUUUUAAAUUAAACAAUAAAGGUCCAUUAACACAAAAUUUUUACAGAUACUUA